GUUUCCUUCAGUGACGUCAUCCAAAUCACCGCUCAGUGAAAUGUGGACAUCAAUUAAACGAUGCAGAGGUGGAGAAAAACCGGACCUAAGGCUUCCCAGAGGAGUAAAAGAAACAUUUGUGGAGCUGGAGUAGAGGAUUUUCUUCUUUGUUAUUCGCCUCUCUAAGAAGAUGGAUGGUAAAAGAGGAUCUGCUCCCCAGAGACCCUUUACAGCAAACUCCACAGGCUCCAUUUCUGUUUCCAGCGCAAUGAUUUACAUGUAGGAUUUAUGAAUGAGAGAAACUAAACGCCAUGACGGAUUUUACGUGGAAGUUUUUCCUCGCGUUUUUCCCCCUGACCCGGUGCUCCUUAGAGC